GGGGCCCGCACAAGCGGUGGAGCAUGUGGUUUAAUUCGACGCUACGCGAAGAACCUUACCUGGGCUUGAACUGCUGGUGGUAGAAGCCCCGAAAGGGUAACGACCCGGAGCAAUCCGGGAGCCAGUAGAGGUGCUGCAUGGCUGUCGUCAGCUCGUGUCGUGAGAUGUUGGGUUAAGUCCCGCAACGAGCGCAACCCUUACCCUUAGUUGCCAGCGGGUAAUGCCGGGCACUCUAAGGGGACCGCCCCGGAUAACGGGGAGGAAGGCGGGAUGACGUCAAGUCAGCAUGGCCUUUAUGUCCAGGGCUACACACGUGCUACAAUGGGCGAUACAGAGGGAAGCAAGGCCGCAAGGUAGAGCUAAUCCCUAAAGUCGUCCUCAGUUCGGAUUGCAGGCUGCAACUCGCCUGCAUGAAGUCGGAAUCGCUAGUAAUCGCGUAACAGCAUGACGCGGUGAAUACGUUCCCGGGCCUU
rnacentral:rRNA from 1 species